GAGAGACCUAGCUACGCCUCAUGAUCUGUUAGAAGCUAGCCAGUGACUUGUCCCUCCUCUGAUCUCUCCUUACCUUACGGUCCUUGUUGCUCUCAGGGACUCCAUGAUGGAUUGGAUGUCACAGAGGGAGAGCACAAGUGGCUCAGAGAGGAGCCGGGUGUGCCUGCGGAGCCAAAUCUCCCCCCUGCACCUCCUACUCUCGUCACCGCUGUCCUGACCGGUUUCCUGCAGGCUCUGGUGGGCUUUGUGCAGAUGAGCUGGAGACUGUAGGGUGAGUCUCUCACUUUCUGCCCUGGG
rnacentral:lncRNA from 1 species